CUUUAAAGUUGGGUGUUAAGUCAGUAACAUGUAAACACAUUUGUAUGAUAUUUUUUUUUAUCACUGUUCAUCAUGCUUUUGAGGGUUAAAUAAAGUUUGUGUUAGGGUAUAUAUUUUUUUGGGUAAAGGCAAUGUGCAUUACUUGUAUUUUUUGUUGGUUUAUAUAGUAAACAGCAAUACUUUUACAGUUCCUAUUUAAAUGGCUUUUAUGACAAACAAUAUUUUGCAGUUACUGUGUGUGUUUUUAAAACUUUUAUGCUAUUCAAAUAUUUUUUUGUUAUUUCCAAAGUAAUGUCUGGUCAAGGCCUUGUGAUUUAGUUAUUUCCUUUUUAAUUUAAUUUUAUAUAAAUUUAUAUCCUACAAAAUAAAAAAACUAAAAUUUAGUACACUAGUUUCAAAAUAUAAAUUUAGUUACCAACAGUCACAUCUUUGAGAAGUUUAUAUAUAUUUUGAUUCAUAAUUUAUGAAAUCUUUUUUUUACCUCUUUCUUCAGUGACACUUGUUGAAAGUCUGUUUAUGCAAUUUGUCUGUAUUAUUCUAGAAGGAACCAACCAAUACACACACACACGAAAGGAUAUUUCAAUAUCUAGAUUGUCCUGUGUCUAAAAAAAUUGCAUUGAUUAGACUGUUGAUGAUCUAUUGAUCAUUACUAAAAAUUUGCCAAAAGUAAAAAAAAAUCAUAAAGCUACCAUAAGAAUUCUUAUAUUUGAAAUGUCUGAGAGGUAGAUAUUUUUUAAUUUGAAUGGCAAAAUGCUUGUUACUGACUGUAUAUAAAUCUAUAUAUAUGCUUUAUCUUAAUUUAUAUGGUAUGUGGUAUUUUUAAUUUUAUGCUGUUGUUCCUCAUCCAUACUGGCUUAUCAGUCAUGAUGUCUGGUUCAUAUUUGUUGUCAGUGGUGAAAUGAUCGCUAUGUUGUUUCAUUUUUAUGAUUUUAUUUUUUAAUUGUUUUGAAUAUUUGAAUUUUAUUUUCUAAAGACAACAUCUACAUUUAUUGACAAAGGUAUGAUUAUAAUUCAUAUUGAGAACAAAAAAUGAGUCCUGAGUGCUUUUUCUGUAGUUUUUACAAUGAAUUUGAAUUUCCAAUAAGAGUGCUAAUUUUUUUCCUCACAAAUUUUGAUAGUGCUUAUGUUUGCCCAAGUGCUAAAACUAACAAUUUUUACAAUGAAAGUGCUUCUAUUUGCUGAAGUGCCUAAACUAACAAAACUUAUGUUGAUAGUACUUCUGAUAAGUCCAAGUGCUUAGACUAACUAUACUUAAAUUGAUAGUGCUUCUUUACUUGUCAUAUUAUAAUAUAUAGUGCUUCUGUAAAUAACUUCAAAACGUCAUAGAAAAAAUGAAACAAUUUUAAGACAUGAGACCAGGAAUUAUUGUUUUGAACACCUGUACUUUGUCAGUCCCCAAUACAUUUGGUACAGGUUUGUUGUUAAGAUGUUAUUCAAGUGUUGGAUUUACAAGUGGAUGUUUUUGAAUUACCGGUGAAAACAGUUUUCAUACAAAUGUGCCAAUAAGUUUGGUGUAGUUGUAUUUGUUACAAUUUAAAUACAGGUGUCAAAUUUACUUGCCAGUUUGUUUUUAAUUAGUAAAAAUCUAUUUCGAUACAAAUUUACCAAUAAACUUGGCCAAGGUGUAAUGUUACAAUUUAAAUACAGGUGUUAAGUUUACUUGCCAAUUUGUUUUUAUUUGGGAAAUUAAUUUUAAUACAAGUGUGCCAAAGGAGUAUAAAUCUUUUUUAUGCCAAAUUAUCUGUUAAUUUUUAUCAAAAAUUGAACAUGAUUGUUAUUAACAUUGAUUAUUAGCAUUAUUA
rnacentral:lncRNA from 1 species